AACGUUUUGAUUUUUCCAUAAAAAAGAACCACCCGAGCCCGUCAGUAUUCGAAAAGUGAAAUUUUUUAUGACCAAUUGUACUAAUCGUUUUGGAAGAUGUGGUUAAAGUCAAAUUGU
rnacentral:rRNA from 1 species